AUACUUACCUGGCAAGGGAGAUACCAUGAUCAAGAAGGUGGUUCACCCAUGGCGAGGCUCAGCCAUUGCACUCCGGCUGUGCUGACCUAUGCGAAUUCCCCAAAUGUGGGAAUCUCGAUUGCAUAAUUUCUGGUAGUGGGGGACUGCGUUCGCGCUCUCCCCUG
ensembl:snRNA U1 U1 spliceosomal RNA